UACGUAGGGGGCAAGCGUUGUCCGGAAUCAUUGGGCGUAAAGCGCGCGUAGGCGGUUCGGUAAGUCCGCUGUGAAAGUCGGGGGCUCAACCCUCGGAUGCCGGUGGAUACUGUCGAGCUUGAGUACGGAAGAGGCGAGUGGAAUUCCUGGUGUAGCGGUGAAAUGCGCAGAUAUCAGGAGGAACACCAAUUGCGAAGGCAGCUCGCUGGGACGUUACUGACGCUGAGACGCGAAAGCGUGGGGAGCAAACAGG
rnacentral:rRNA from 1 species